rnacentral:ribozyme from 1 species
AGAAGAGAGGAAGAGAGAGAGAGAAAAAAAAAAGCCUUGUUGUUGUUUUUUUUUUCUUUUUUUUUUUU